AGUGAACGCUGGCGGUAGGCCUAACACAUGCAAGUCGAACGGCAGCACAGUAAGAGCUUGCUCUUACGGGUGGCGCGUGGCGGACGGGUGAGGAAUACAUCGGAAUCUACUUUUUCGUGGGGGAUAACGUAGGGAAACUUACGCUAAUACCGCAUACGACCUACGGGUGAAAGCAGGGGAUCUUCGGACCUUGCGCGAUUGAAUGAGCCGAUGUCGGAUUAGCUAGUUGGCGGGGUAAAGGCCCACCAAGGCGACGAUCCGUAGCUGGUCUGAGAGGAUGAUCAGCCACACUGGAACUGAGACACGGUCCAGACUCCUACGGGAGGCAGCAGUGGGGAAUAUUGGACAAUGGGCGCAAGCCUGAUCCAGCCAUACUGCGUGGGUGAAGAAGGCCUUCGGGUUGUAAAGCCCUUUUGUUGGGAAAGAAAAGCAGCAGGUUAAUACCCCGCUGUUCUGACGGUACCCAAAGAAUAAGCACCGGCUAACUUCGUG
rnacentral:rRNA from 1 species